AGCAACUUAUAAGGGUUGAAAAAACGAAACUUUAAACUCCAUAAACUAACUUAGAACAAAUAAGGCUUAAAGAAUCUAAUAAUAUAACUUUUAUUGAGCAAAAAGGGCUCAAUAAUUGUGUAUAGAGAACGAAUACAAGCAAAAAAAACAUUUAUUUUCAUAUAAUAAGAAUAAAAAUUAAAUUCAUUCUUUGUACCGACAAUAAGUUUUUGCAGUUCUCUCCUAUAGUCCUAUUCAUUUAAAAGACUAGCGUAUAUCACCGAUACCUAAAUAUUUGUGCUUAUCUGUUUGUUUUUUCUUAUUUUUUGUUAUGAUACUUUUUAUGUUUACGAUUAGUCUUUUCUCUGAUUUUUGUUUAAUUUUUUUUUUUUACAUUGUUCUUAAUUUUUGAUUUUAGUAAGGCGUGCAGCUCUUCAUCUGAUAUCUGAAGCCUCUGCCCUCUUGUUAACCAUUUUAAAAUUUACAAACGAACUCUAACGUUGGUUGCCAUGGUGAUUAUUUGACAAAACUAUAUUUUCAAAACUUCUUUUGUAUAUAACAGAUAAAGUAUAAGUGAUAUUUUCAGAAAGAAUUAGUUCAACCUACCGUACUACUAAUACUAAUAGUAAUUUAAAUAAAUUAUUAAAUGCCCUUAAAAAUUGAAGCCGACACUAUUUCCGAUCAAACCCGUUUUUCAUAUGCGUCAAUGAUUUAUCAUUAAUUUCAAAUUUACAUUAUGAUAUUAUUGCCGUAUCUAUUACAGUGAUCUACUUGAUGACGACGUACAUUUGACAUCUACAAUACAGCAGAGCUACUUCCCAGUUUGUGUUUGUUGUAUCUAACAUUGUUUUUAUUAUACUUUAUAUUAAAUAUUGUAUUAUCAAUACUUUGAAUAAUCAUCGGCGACUACGUCAAACUAUACCAAAGAUAAUCGUAACUAUAUUAUACACAACCGAGAUGAAUUUACGGGAAGUCUAAGUGUUACACCACCCGACCACCGCACACUGGCGUGAUGUGAUGACUCGUCGUGAGCUCCUGACAUAAUUGUGAAAUCGAUUUUAAACUAUCCACCACUGUUGAAGGGCUAGUACGAAAUCGUAAUAAAUAUACAGGGUGAUUUACCGAGCGUGCUCACCUCUUUUUUUCUUCUUCAACAACGUAGUAAUUCAAAAUUUGAUUUUUAUAAUUUUAAAAUUUAAUAUCAUUUAAUACAGAUAUCAGAUAAUAGAGCAUAUUUGUAAAUUCUUGAAAUAUUUUGCACGAUUUAAUGAGUGUUCUGCAAAAACACAACCUCUGUUUUUCAAGUGACAAUUCCAAAAUCGAAAUCGAAAUUUAAAACUAGCAGUUUUUGAGUUAGGUAACUUUAUUUUCUAAGCAUAAUAAGUCAAUGAUGAUAAGUUUGAAAAAUAUUAUGGAAACUGUGAUAAUUUGAAAAUUAAAGAAAUUAAUAUUUCUAAUUUAAAAAAUGGUUCAACUAUAAUAAAUACUAAAUCCAAAAUUACAUAUAUUUUAUAUUUUUAUAAAGACUUCUAUCGUCAGUAUAUAAACAUUUUAGUAACUGAGAAACUAUAAUAUAUGUUCAAACUUUGAUAAGUAUCCACUUAUCCACUUAUCCAUUUUAAAAAAAUGUUCAUUAAUUAAUAAUUUAUAGUAAAUACUAUAUAGUACUAUACUGAAUUUUUCUCAUUUGAAAAAUAGAAGUUUGUAUAGACAUAAAACUCUCUUUAAAUUUAAAAAAAACUCAAGAUUUUAUAAAUAUAUAUUUGAAAAUUCAAAAUAUUAACAUUUAAAUAAAUUCAUUAUUCAAUUUAAAAAAUGGAGAUAAACACGUUUGUUGAAUCACCCUGUGUGCGAUGGCUUACAAUGAAGAGUGUAUUCCCAAUGAAGAACGGCCACCCAACCAUGAGAAAGUAUGAAUCGGAUAUUACGAGCAGAUACGAUAUUAAAAUAAAAUCUUAAAGUAGAGGGUAUUUGUCUUUAAAAAUGCUGACUAAAAUUUAAAAUGCUCAAUUUUUGUUAACAUGAAUAAUAAUUAUACAAUAAAUUUAUAUUUAAUCGUUAUAAAACCAUACUAUCAAAUUUUAAAUUUUAAAAAAUGUACACAUUGAUAUGAAAGCACUUCUUUAACAUACAAAUUACUCUGCAUAUUGUCUAUAUAUGUAUAUACUAUAUGUUUAUUUAUUAUACAUAUAUACUAUAUAAUAGUGACACCCGGGGGAAAAAGAUAUUAUUGAAUGGUAUUGUAGAGUAAAUUUGUCGAAAAAAAGUAGUACACACAAUAAUACGAUGAGUGAUGACGUAAAUAUACGAAAAUAGAAAUACCCUAGUAACGCUAUCUGUCUAAUAAAAUAAAAUAAAAAUAAUUUACCGGUUGUAGUGGGAUGAUACGGAGUAUAAUAAUACUAUGUCCGUAUUUUGUUAGUAAAUUAUAGACUCUAAACUAAAAUACGAUGAUUUACGUGUUUUUUCCACAUAAAACGUUCUAACGAAUAAAAUAAUAAAAAGCACAAACUUCGAUAUCGAACUGUAUGUGCGAUAAAAAAAUACAAUAUUUUAGAGCAUGUUGAUUUUACAACUAAAACGGUUUUUAUGGUAGAAUUUCGACAAAUAAUCAACGAUAUUAUUCAUAGUAAUUGUGUCAAUUUUUUUUUUAUUCGCAUUUUAUUAUUAUUUGUUUUAUUCAAAAUUAUCUCUUCAUAUUCAAAUUAUAGUAUUUCAACAAAUAAAUAACAAUUUGUCCUUCGCAGAUCAUCGAUAUCCAAACUAUCCGUUGUAAUUUUUGCUACUUAACAUGAUCAAUGCAUUUUAUCGUUGGUUGUCCAUUUUGAAUCUUAAGUACCUACAUUUCAUUAAUUUUAAUUUCCUUUAAACGCACUUGUACAGUUGCAGUAGUAAUAGCAUUCUUGUUGCAAGAACAUCGUCUAUAGCCUGGCAAUACGCGUAAACGAUAUAACACUCUGACGGACGGUUUUAGCGACGGCGCAGCGUCGUUUGAAAUCGAUGUUCGGACGUUCCUCGGUGCCCGCCGAAUCAGCGUAGUAUUGACGUAUUUGCAAGUCGUCCCGCCGUUUUUUGUUUGUUUUUUUUUAUCGUAUAAAACACCAACGGCGCGUCGUUUGUGACUGACACGCAUAUAGGUAUAGAAAUUCUGUGGGCCAUACCGUUAAGUACGACUUUCCGGCCGUGGCGGUGGUUUCCGUUUACCGCCAAAUAAGUGACCCUUGCCUGAUUGUUUAUCGUUCAUGAAAAGUUAUAUUCUGAUUUUCAACAAGAAUAAUAUUUUUUUUAGAACGCAGUGUGUCAUCAUAUAAUUGUUAUUAUUAUUUCAUUACAACAGGAAAUGGUUAUAGGGUAUUUAGGUGCUAAGGAAAGCUUCAGUCGAUAUUGUGACAAUAUUAACUACAAAAAAUGUUGUUGAAUUAAUUACUUAAUCAUAUUUAUUGAAUUUUCUUAUAUGUUUUCUAGAAAUAUUGAAGUGAUAGCGAUAACUAGUACUCAUGAUGCCAGUACAUAUACUAUAUUUGCACCUCAAUUUUAUAAGACCGGUUAACUAAAUGAUUCAUGAACUGAGAUACCUUGAUAUUAAUUAUAAAUACCUAUUAAUAUAAUUGAACACUAAAACAAGUUUGUAUAUCUUUCUUAUAAUAUUUACAAAAUAUUCCAAGAUACAUAAAGAAACUAUAAAAAAUAAACACUUACCUUUGAAAUAUUCACAAGAAUAACAAAAAAAAAAUAUUUCCUAUGAACUCUGUGUUUUAUGAAUCAUUUAAAUUUUUUACUAAUUUCAAUACCUACGUAGGUAGUAUAUACUCAAUGAAGAUAAAUAAAAUCAUAAGACCCUAGACUUAAAUAAUGCCAAAAAAUACUGACAGAACGGCUUAAAAAUGUAAUCAUUACUAGGUAAGAACCUAAAUGUACUCUUCACCGUAAAUAUAGUAGGUACAUUUUUUAUUCGAAAAAAUUUUUAUUUUCACAGAAUAACUUUUUCAAAUUUAUAUCUGAUGUACUGAUGUGCAUUAUUUUUGUUUUUAAUAAUAAUUGAAAUCGGUGGACAAUUAACGCAGUUACAUAUAAUUAUAUAAAAUAAAUUUUUAAAAAAUAUAUCAUAUUCGAGACCAUUACAUUAUUAAUUAUAAA